rnacentral:rRNA from 1 species
UACGGAAGGCAGCAGUGGGGAAUAUUGCACAAUGGGCGCAAGCCUGAUGCAGCCAUGCCGCGUGUAUGAAGAAGGCCUUCGGGUUGUAAAGUACUUUCAGUCGUGAGGAAGGUGUUAAGGUUAAUAACCUUAGCAAUUGACGUUAGCGACAGAAGAAGCACCGGCUAACUCCGUGCCAGCAGCCGCGGUAAUACGGAGGGUGCGAGCGUUAAUCGGAAUUACUGGGCGUAAAGGGCACGCAGGCGGUUAAUUAAGUUGGAUGUGAAAUCCCCGGGCUUAACCUGGGAAUGGCAUUCAAGACUGGUUAGCUAGAGUCUUGUAGAGGGGGUAGAAUUCCAUGUGUAGCGGUGAAAUGCGUAGAGAUGUGGAGGAAUACCGGUGGCGAAGGCGGCCCCUGGGACAAAGGCUGACGCUCAUGUGCGAAAGCGUGGGGAGCGAAAC